CCUGGGUCCAGUUUUGCCUUCAUUUUUCUUGUUGUUUCUCCUCGGUUUAUUCAGCCAGUCCUGGGUUUGAGCUCAACUCUGCCCCUUACCUGUAGGAAUUAGAGUCCAGGGCAACGGGGCCUUUGCCCUGAGGUUCCUGGGGUGACCCACAUUGUAAGCCUUGACCCGUCCUCUGGGGUGGAGAGCUUCUGGACAUUUCAUUUGUGCAAUGACCCCCUUUGUUCUGACCCAACAGAAGUCCCUGCCCUGCUCCGCCGAGGAAGCCUUCCUGGGCCUGUCACUGUUUACAGACUCUCAGAAAGGCAGGUGUUGGGAGGAAGCUGCCGCUUGCGGUCGGUUCUCCCCAGAUACAGGAGCGCCCGGGCCCCCCCCAGGCCGGCUGCCAUUGGCUAACGGGAGGCCAAAACAGACUCCUCUCCCGCCUGCAGCCACCCAGCCAGCAAACAAAGAGCGCACAGGAAACACCUGGAGGAGAGGGCAGCUGGCAAGGGGACCUCCGCAGGAAAGAAGAAAGGGUUUGCAGGAGGAAUUAGGCUGCUCUGCAAAGAAGUGGUGCAGAGAAAAAGCCCGAACUCUCCAGAACUCACCAGGCUUGCCCUUCCCAGCUUCCCCGUUUCUCUCUCUUCCUGGAAGGGAGAACGUGAUUCCGCAUGAUUCCACAGGUGGGCAGGAAGGAGCCACCUGCUAUAGGUCUUCUGAGUGUAACUGAAGAGAAAUACCAUGAGACACCGAGGAAAGGAUUUGCAUCUGAAGAAAACGCUUAGUGAGUUGAGGAUGUUGGCUUCUCUACACCACACGGCUUCAUCUGCUACAUUUUUAUUAAAGUAACCAAAAAAAAAAGAAAAAAGCGCGUACAUUUGUCCAUAAAGCUGUACAUCCUUCCAUAUAAAAACACUAUUAUACAAUUAGUAACCUUUGUCUUUUCUGUCAGAACAGCUUACCAACGUGCUACUAUUAUUUCUUUUUACUUAAUAGGAGAGACAGGCCUGCUCAACAGUCCAGCUCUGGGUGUUUUGCUGUUUUUUAAAGUGAACAUUAAAAAAAAAAAAAUAAGAAGAAGAAAGAGAGAGAGAGAGAGAAGAGAGGAAAGAUUAAGCAGGAGACCAUGAGGCUGCUUCUUUUUUAAAAAGGCAGGGAUCUGUUUGCAGACAGGAUGCAACAAUGCCACGUCCAGUGAUUCACAGCUUUGUCUCAACCCACAGGCCAGAAAAUGAGUUCUUGGGUCUGUGGGUCUGAAGUUAGCUUUAAAGCAAUAAAGGCUGGAAGCAGGGUCUGGGAAGGCAGCUUGGAGUCUAGAGUUGAAAAGGAGGCAGGACUGGCAGGACUGGGUAGGGACAGUGUUUGGUAAAUUAGCACCUUUGAAUCAGAAGUGAGUGGUUAAGAAAUUCAGGGAAGGGGACUGGUUGUGGAGUGGGGGACCCUCGGGCAGGGAAGAAAGUUUCCUCACUAAGGGGCGACAGCCUGGUGGGCUGGACAGGAGGGUAGCCAGGUAGACUGGACGCUCUAGCUACGUCCUUCUAAAGUGAUUUUGAGAUUAGGAAAAUCAGAGCCUUCGGAGGACCCCCUCACUAAUGUCACUGAAAAACCGAAGGAAGGCGAUUUCUUCCCAGUAUAGAUUUCCACUGGCUCCGACCCAGCACGGUAAAUAUUGCACAAGUCUACAGACAAAUCUGGGUUGUACUGA